AGGCAGCUGAGGAUAAAUAUUGUCAUUAUAGGGGGAUGCACACUGUAACUGUUAGAAAGGGAGCUCAUGGGCUUGGCAUUAUGAUAAUUGAAGGCAAGCAUGCUGAAGUUGGACAGGGCAUCUUCAUAUCGGACAUCCAAGAAAACAGUGCUGCUGAACAGGCUGGGUUGUGUGUUGGUGACAUGAUUUUAGCUGCCAAUGAUACAGACUUGGUUGGAGCUGAUUAUGAUACAG